rnacentral:misc_RNA from 1 species
GAUGAAGAACGUAGCGAAAUGCGAUAAGUAAUGUGAAUUGCAGAAUUCAGUGAAUCAUCGAAUCUUUGAACGCUCAUUGCGCCCGCCAGUAUUCUGGCGGGCAUGCCUGUUCGAGCGUCAUUUCAACCAUCAAGCCCCCGGCUUGUGUUGGGGACCUGCGGCUGCCGCAGGCCCUGAAAAGCAGUGGCGGGCUCGCUGUCACACCGAGCGUAGUAGCAUACAUCUCGCUCUGGGCGUGCUGCGGGUUCCGGCCGUUAAACCACCUUCAUAACCCAAGGUUGACCUCGGAUCAGGUAGGAAGACCCGCUGAACUUAAGCAUAUCAAUAAGCGGAGGA